rnacentral:ncRNA from 1 species
GGUUCAUAGAGAACAGGACGGUGACCAUGAAAGUCGGUAUCCGCUAAGGAGUGUGUAACAACUCACCUGCCGAAUCAACU